rnacentral:rRNA from 1 species
UGGAGUAUACUCAUAGACUACAGCUUCGCAUGAAGCAGUGGUAAAAACUCCGGUGGUAUGAGAUGGACUCGCGUCUGAUUAGCUAGUAGGUAAGGUAACGGCUUACCUAGGCGACGAUCAGUAGCCGGCCUGAGAGGGUGGACGGCCACACUGGAACUGAGAGACGGUCCAGACUCCUACGGGAGGCAGCAGUGGGGAAUAUUGCACAAUGGGGGGAACCCUGAUGCAGCAAUGCCGCGUGAAGGAUGAAGUAUUUCGGUAUGUAAACUUCUUUCAGUAGGGAAGAAACAAAUGACGGUACCUACAGAAGAAGCCCCGGCUAACUAUGUGCCAGCAGCCGCGGUAAUACAUAGGGGGCAAGCGUUAUCCGGAAUUACUGGGUGUAAAGGGUGCGUAGGCGGCAAGACAAGUCAGGUGUGAAAACCCGGGGCUCAACCCCGGGAAUGCACUUGAAACUGUCUAGCUAGAGUACAGGAGAGGUAAGCGGAAUUCCUAGUGUAGCGGUGAAAUGCGUAGAUAUUAGGAAGAACACCAGUGGCGAAGGCGGCUUACUGGACUGAAACUGACGCUGAGGCACGAAAGCGUGGGGAGCGAACAGGAUUAGAUACCCUGGUAGUCCACGCCGUAAACGAUGAUUACUAGGUGUUGGGGUCUAAAGACCUCGGUGCCGCAGUUAACGCAAUAAGUAAU